AAAGCUUUCCAAUUACCAGGAUAUACGAACUGACUGUCACUUACAGUCAAUUUGACUAAAGUACCGAUAUGUCCAAUAUGUGAUGUAAGAAGUGCUAAAGCUACAGUAACUUAAAAGAUAAUACAAUUUAGCUAGCUUUAAAAUUCAACAUUUGAAAUGAGAAAGUAUGUAACCCAAUUAAGGCUGAUGGUUUAAUUACCUUGGAAUUUUUGAGUACACCCAAUACAUAUAAAACACAUCAUUUUGGAGUCAAUUUUGAUAUGAUAGCUAACAAUAGCUCUGUUAUAACUUUGCAAUAUGGAUGAAAAGAUACAUAGCAUCUUAAAAGAAACAUCAUUGGCUGUGGUAUUACCGUAUUCUCCCUAUUCAGCUCCCCUGAUAAUGAACCUCUGUAAGUUUACUUUUAUUUCUACUAAAAUAAGACACCAUUUUAAUUUGGUAUAAAAUUUCAGGAGUUCUGUGAAAUCAACAACAUUGUAUGUGCUGGAUAUAUGAAAGGAAAUUAAUUUCAAAAAUGAAAGUUACUUAACAGUUUUUAAAAUUAAUUGGUAUGAUUGAGAUUUGAAAAAUGUUAACUUUUCAAAUUUGUUUUUAUUUUCAAGGAAAAAAUAAAAUUAAAAGUUUAAACAACUGCCACUUCCCUUUCUUUUAUACAUAUCAUUUUUUUCCCUUUAAAAUAUGUAAAAGUAUACAUGACUGUUUAAAUUUCAGUGAACUUUUUUGUUCAUAUAAGUUAGAAUUGCAUAUUUUGUAAAACUUGGAAAAGUUUUUCCCUGUGUAAAAUCAUUUUAAUUACGACAGAAAUUUUGAAAUAUUUGUUCUGAUUUUUUUCUCCUAUAUGGGUCAAGGUUUUCAUGUUGUUUUGUAAGAUGUUUGAAUUAUAGUUACAGGUAUUGCUUUAUCUCCUUCUACAGAUAUAGUCAUAAUUACGUGGGUUUCUUCAUUGAUGUUGAUUUCAUUGUUGGGUGUGUACUGUUUUGAUUCAUUGACUCAAAGCUUGACAUGAUUUAUGCUGUAAAUGUUGAUUUAUGAUUAAACAUCACUUAAAUAUUG
rnacentral:sRNA from 1 species